rnacentral:rRNA from 1 species
CCUACGGGAGGCAGCAGUGAGGAAUAUUGGUCAAUGGGCGCGAGCCUGAACCAGCCAAGUCGCGUGAGGGAAGACGGUCCUAUGGAUUGUAAACCUCUUUUGUCGGGGAGCAAAAGACGCCACGCGUGGCGUUCCGAGAGUACCCGAAGAAAAAGCAUCGGCUAACUCCGUGCCAGCAGCCGCGGUAAUACGGAGGAUGCGAGCGUUAUCCGGAUUUAUUGGGUUUAAAGGGUGCGCAGGCGGAAGAUCAAGUCAGCGGGAAAAUUGAGAGGCUAAACCCCGUCGAGCCGUUGAAACUGGUUUUCUUGAGUGAGCGAGAAGUAUGCGGAAUGCGUGGUGUAGCGGUGAAAUGCAUAGAGAUCACGCAGAACUCCGAUUGCGAAGGCAGCAUACCGGCGCUCAACUGACGCUCAUGCACGAAAGUGUGGGUAUCGAACAGGAUUAGAUACCCCAGUAGUC